rnacentral:rRNA from 1 species
UACGUAGGGUGCGAGCGUUGCCCGGAUUUAUUGGGCGUAAAGGGCGCGUAGGCGGCCACGCACGUCCGUUGUGAAAUCGCCCGGCUCAACUGGGCGGGGUCAGCGGAUACGGCGUGGCUGGAGCAAGCUAGGGGGCAAUGGAAUUCCCGGUGUAGUGGUGGAAUGCGUAGAUAUCGGGAGGAACACCAGUGGCGAAGGCGGUUGCCUGGAGCUUUGCUGACGCUGAUGCGCGAAAGCGUGGGGAGCAAACAGG